GCUAGACUAAUGUUCCAAGACUCAAGCCCUGGCCCAGUGCAGACAGUGCAACUGUCCAGGGUCCAGAAUUUUAUGGGGCACCAAAAUUUGCUAUACAAACAAAUAUGGAGGAUAUAUGAGAAAAUAAAUAAAUAAAUAAAAAUUUGCAAACCCACACUUGCCCCGCCCUGGCCCAGUGCAGACAAUGCAACUGUCCAGGGCCCAGAAUUUAUAGAGCACCAAAAUUUGCUAUGGGGGAUAUAUAAAAAAUAAUAAUAAUAAAAAUAAAAAUUUGCAAACCCAGAAACGUCUUCAAGUCUGACUCUUCUCUUAUUCCUUCUUCGCAACUCGGAAGUCGCGUCUCACAGAUCAUUAGUUUGAUAAUGGAUUCAUGGCUCAAUUUUGCAACCAAAUGUGAGACUGCAUUUUGCGAUGUCUGCAAAACCCAAUUGGCGACUGGAAAUUGCAAAACUCCUCUUCUACGAAUUUCAGAUUGGCAUGGAUUGCCAGCUUGGGUUGAUAAUAUUAGGAUUUUGAUGCUAAAAGCAGUACCUGAAGUGGGCAAAAAAGCCGGACAGUGCGGUGGGCAAAGAAGUCGGACAAUGCGGUGGACUUGAGAGCUUCUCGAUGAGAUAUAAGACACAUCAUUGUGGGCAAGAAAUUGGGAAUUUAGUGUUAUGGUUCCAGUGUAUGGAAACAAUAUAAAUUAGAAAGAGAAGGGGGAGAGCUUGAACACAUAUUGGAGGAGUUUUGACGCUAUCUUUUAU